rnacentral:rRNA from 1 species
AUUGAACGCUGGCGGCAUGGCUAAAACAUGCAAGUCGAACGUGCCCGCAAGGGCAAGUGGCGAAAGGGUCAGUAACGCGAUCGAAUGUACCUAUGGGUUGAGGAUAGCCGUGGGAAACUGCGGGUAAUACUCGAUGAUGUCUCCGGACCAAAGAUUUAUCGCCCUAAGAGCAGCGAUCGUCCUAUCAGGUAGUUGGCGGGGUAAAGGCCCACCAAGCCUAAGACGGGUAGCAGGUGUGAGAGCACGACCUGCGACAUCGGGACUGAGACACUGCCCGGACUCCUACGGGAGGCUGCAGUAACGAAUCUUCCGCAAUGGGCGCAAGCCUGACGGAGCAAUGCCGCGUGUGGGAUGAAGCGGCUACGCCGUGUAAACCACUGUCAGGGGCUAGAACCAAUGAUCAGCCCCAAAGGAAGAGCCGGCUAACCCUGUGCCAGCAGCCGCGUAAUGUCUGUAC